CAAUAAGCUAGAGCGAUAAGAUCAAGCGUUAGGUUGAGGGAUUAGUCAACCCUAGUCUAACCCAACUUAAUUUUAAUCUGUUCCUGUUGCCACGCAUUAGUGUUGCAGCAAUGUCCCAUCAUAUCAUUGGAUUUCUUUUCAGUUGGCAAUUUCACAGUUGGCAGUUUCAAAGUUGGCUUUCUAUGGCAGUGGAUGCUGACAGAGCUGCGAGAUUUAUUUGGCCUCAUCUUCGUCGACAUAAUCUAUG